rnacentral:lncRNA from 1 species
AUCCAAUGGUUGUAAUUUUAAUACCCACCCACUGGAUAACUCUUGUGCAUCCAACUUUUACCUCUCAAAGGACCAUCAUAUAUUACUAAAUAGUCUCAAUUAAUGCUUCUCCUCUAUAAAAUGUGACCAGGACCCUCAAGCCCUCCCCACCUAUCUCCCUUUGUUCUUCCCCAAAGCCUUCUUACUCUCUUUCAUUUACCUGGAAGAAAAAAGAAGAGAGUUCUUCUUCCAGUUCAAAACUAGUUCACCCAAGCACCGACCUUUCAUAUACCUUCAAACC